rnacentral:rRNA from 1 species
AUGGCCCGCAAAAGAUCUCCCGCUAAUACUUCUUCCACCGGCACCUGCGAGGGCAGCGGCAACAGAGAAACAAUGACAAGCGCGUCAAGGUAUAAUCCGCCUGCGGUGGUUAUUGGCACGCACGAGUUCACCAUUCAAAGCUUGAGCUGGGUGAGGGAGGUGCAUAGUGUCGGUGAGUACAUCCGAUCUGGCAGUUUCCAGGUGGGGGGUUACGAGUGGACCAUAGAGGUGACCCCAUCAGGACAACCAGAGGACACGUCGGAGUACAUUGGCGUCUUCGUUUGGCCUACCAUAAACGACGAUGAAACUAAGGUGAAAGCAACAGCGACCUUUAAGCCCGUCCACCCCACCGACAAGUCGCAUCCGUUUCCUCCCCAUAAUCUAACACACAUCUUUGCCGGCAGGGCGUGCCAUAGAAUGGGGUGGCCAAAAUUCAUCACGGUGGCAUAUGCAAACUCACACUACGUGGGACAUGACGACUCUUUUACCGUACAAUGCCGACUUGCGGUAACCACGGGAUCCUCCACUAGCAGCACCAUCGCAACUGGCGGCCCCGUCCCCGUACCCAUGAUCAUGCCACCAUCCAACCUGGCUUGGCAUCUCGAGCGGCUGCUAGCAAGUGAGGAGGGUUGGGACGUGAAGUUCAUAGUACAGGAGAUCGAGAUCUGCGCGCACAGGUUCGUGAUCGCCGCACGCUCGCCGGCGCUGUACGACCUGGUGGAAGAAUCAGCAACCAACCAUGUGAAAAUUGAUGACAUUAGAACGGUUGUUUUCAAGGCCAUGCUUCACUUCAUAUACACUGACAAGCCGCCUUGCGUCGAAGACCUAGUUGCUCCUGCCACCGGGCAUUCCAUGAUGACGGUCGCCGGAGAAAUGUUGGCGGCGGCGUGCCGGUUCCGCCUGGAGAGGAUGAAGAGGCUGUGCGAGAACCUGCUGGCGGAGAAGAUGACCCCGGAGUACGCUCUGGCCACGCUGAGGCUGGCUGGGCGCCAUGGUUGCACAGAACUGGAAGACUACUGCAUCGAGUAUAUCUCACUACCGCACAUGGUCAAGGACGUGAUGAAAACACUCAAUUUG